CGAACCGUGAAAGCGUGGCC
rnacentral:snRNA from 1 species